GAUUAACGCUGGCGGCGUGCAUAACACAUGCAAGUCGAACGAAGUGGCGGAAGGGUGAGUAACGCGUGAGUAACCUGCCUUAGAGAAGGGGAUAGCCUUUGGAAACGAAGAAUAAUACCCUAUGCUCUAAGCUGGACUUGCGUCUGAUUAGUUAGUUAGUGGGGUAGCGGCCCACCAAGACAGCGAUCAGUAGCCGGAGUGAGAGAGUGUACGUCAACAUUGGGACUGAGACACGGCCCAGACUAUACGGUAGGCAGCAGUGGGGAAUUUUUCACAAUGGGGGAAACUCUGAUUCAGCGACGCCGCGGGAUUUAGAAGGCCUUUGGGUUGUACAAAUCUUGUCUAUGGGAAGCAGUACCAUAGGAAUAAGGACCGGCUAAUUACGUGCCAGCAGCCGCGGUAAUUC
rnacentral:rRNA from 1 species